rnacentral:rRNA from 1 species
GAUGAACGCUAGCGACAGGCCUAACACAUGCAAGUCGAGGGGCAGCGAGGAUGUAGCAAUACAUUUGUCGGCGACCGGCGCACGGGUGAGUAACGCGUAUGCAACCUACCCGACACAGGGGAAUAACCCGAAGAAAUUCGGACUAAUACCGCAUAAAACAGGGGUCCCGCAUGGGAAUAUUUGUUAAAGAAUUAUCGGUGUCGGAUGGGCAUGCGUUCCAUUAGCUUGUUGGUGAGGUAACGGCUCACCAAGGCAACGAUGGAUAGGGGUUCUGAGAGGAAGGUCCCCCACACUGGUACUGAGACACGGACCAGACUCCUACGGGAGGCAGCAGUGAGGAAUAUUGGUCAAUGGGCGAAAGCCUGAACCAGCCAAGUCGCGUGAAGGAUGACGGUCCUAAGGAUUGUAAACUUCUUUGUUCGGGAAUAAAGUGCAGUAUGUAUACUGUUUUGUAUGUACCGUUCGAAUAAGCAUCGGCUAAUUCCGUGCCAGCAGCCGCGGU